GCUCGAACGGUUGAGCCACUAAUUCCCUAAUCUGAACAGGUUGUUUUCGUGACUUGCCCGGCUUACUUGCGUGUCCCUUCUUUUAUUAAAGUUUAUUUUUUUGCCAUCAAGUUGUUUUGGAACAUUUGGCCAACCAGACAGCAAACAUUUUAUUUGUUCUUUAUUGUUUGUUGAAAGACAUUUUGAAAAUGCGCAGACCGUUAAAAAUGUUAUUCUUCGACCUGUGGAUUGGUGUCUCCUUUGCUUCAGCAGGCAUUAUCGACUCAUUCAUCCUCGGAUUGCAUUCCGUUUCUGCUGCCACGGCGAUCAACGGCCAGCAACAACAACAAACAUCGUCGCAGUCACUUUCAGCUGACCAGAUUGGGAAUGACAACGCGUCCGGUUAUGCACGUACCAACAGUUCGUCAGUUUUCGUUCCCACUGCAGACGGCGGUCAACUUCGUGUAGAUUUGUGCGAGGGGGACAUUGUUGUUCCUUUGUCUUUCGAUGUCAAAAAGGAGAUGGUCUUCAAAUCGAGCAAUUUUCCAUUCAAACGUUCGACGCCCGUCAUUUGUUCGUGGAACGUCAGGGCGACCACCAAUUGCCGUCGUGGACUGGUCACGAUGACGAUCAACGAACGCAGUCGGCUGGCAGAUGUCGAUGGUUGUCGCAACGGAUACUACACCGUGUCGCCGUUCAUGGAAGACGCCAAAAUCUGUGGCCGUAUCAACACCGUCCCCGUUUUUCGUUGGUACGUCGAACACGAACAUCCAGAAAACGUAACGAUUACGUUGAGGCACAUCGGUCUCCAUGACGGCUACUCUGAAGGACUCAGUUUUAACCUUUCAGGUGAUUGUCUGCCCAACAGGGAUGACACGACUAUUAGCAAGGCCUGGGAAUCGUAUGGCACUUGGCUCCAACAGCUGUCCGAGAUGCAGUGGACAACAGCAGGCGGACCUACGGUGGUCUUACCGUGGGUUUCGACCACUCAGCCAACCUUUUCAAAUGAUUCAACAACACCCCUUCUGAAUAAUGAGACCGUUGUUGUGACUGUUACGACUGCCUCGCCGCCAGAUGUCACCACCACCCUUUCGCCACAGACUGCGGAGAGUAGCACUACGAUUAGCACGAAUCUGGAGAUUAACCUUCAAUCCAACGUUUCGAAUACUUCCUCGUUGCCGAUGGUAGAUCUUCCACGAGAGAACGUUACUUCUCUUGUCUAUCCGAUAUUGAAUUCCAGUGAGGUUCUUCCAUCAGCCCAACCUACGACACAGCAACCCUCGCAAUACCAACAGACCACUGAUGUUCCUGUGGACUUGGCUACUGAAGACCAUGGCGACAUUCCGUGGCUCAUUUUGAAACCUCUCGGUGAGUCAUUAGCGGAAUUGCAUCCAACUUCAAGCCAUCGCCCGUCUUCAACGAAAGUUCAUCCAACUCCAAGCCCCCGCCCGUCAUCAACGAAAAGACCGACUACCGUAAAGCCUGGAGUUGUUGUUAUUCCAGCCGACGUUCUUCCGAAUAACAUUCACCCAGUUAAACACGUUCAUAACACUGAAUCCGAGAUGCCCUGGCUCGUAUUGAAGACUCCCGAUCGAAACCAAGUAUCUGUGGAACUUUAUGCAUCAAAGAACAAGCCAUCGGAUCAACUUGAUGUUGUUAAAGAAGAUGCGAUUCCUUUUUAUGACUACGAUGAAUCCGCCGAUUCUUCGGAGAAUGACUCUGAAUUGUUUUUAGACCUGGACGCUGAUCCCGAGGUAAACUUCUCAUUGGAAAGACCCGAAACGAUUGCAUCGUACCUUGGAGGAUAUGACCUAGAUGAACGUCAACAUCAUGGUCCAAAAGUUCCAACUGCUGAAAAUGGAAAUGCGAUUCCGUGGCUCAUUUUGAAAAAUCGCGAUCCUUCAUCUUCGUCGAAACAUGACUUGCCAUUCACUCCGAAUUCUCCUACGGACGUCCAACCACCUGCUUUUGACGUUUCGAGAGCUCCGUCGAUGACAUCUCAAUCCUCCCUUCGCAAGAGCCAUCUAUCGAGCACCGAGAAAACAUUAGUGGAUCGUGCCUCUGCGUCGUCUGCUUCGAUUGGGACGAAGUUGGCAGAGUCCUCAGACCAGCCAGUCGACGUAAGCAACUCGGUGCAGUCGGCCCUCGAUGAACCGGUGGUAACUAUGAACCGUCUGGACGAUAAACAGAUCACCGAGUCACCGGCAAGUACAACACCUAAUCCUACAAAUGUCCAACCGGUUUUUCUGAGUCGCAACCCUUUAUUGGCAUUUGACGAUUAACUGUACACCCCGAGGCGAACAAAUACUUGAUUAAUUGAUGCCCACUUUUUAGACACCAAAUAGUUCAAUAAACCCUACCAUUUUCCAAGCACAAAAAUAAAGCCAGCGUUAAUGUGAGAUACGUUUUCUUUUAAAUGAGGGAAGUGAAACUGUUAAUCAUUUUAUUGAAUGGACUAAUAGUGAAUUUGUAGUGAAAAUUGCAGUUUUCCAAUAGGGAGGGUGUUUCGCGUGAGACUUUCACCGGACGCCAAAAUAACCUACAUGUUUUCAGUUUAAUAACUGAAAACAAACAAGACUGAAAUCUAGGGCUUCUUCGUGUGAUGUGGCGCAAACUAUUUAACGACUAGGGUCUGAUCGUUAAUUGUAAAACGGCCCAGUUGUUCAAUGCGGGACAACAAUCGAGACCACAACAAAAAAAUGAACAGUACGCAGUCGUGUACGUGUUGAAGGCGAGGAGACAUCGCGCAGAACUAGAAAGGCGUUGGCGUCACAGACGAGUAGAUGAGAAGUCACCGAGUCAACGAGGAAAGCCAUAUCAUUCGUGUGAAUCGUCUUGUUUUGUGUGCCCGUAUCCACUCGUCGAGCAAAACUGCAAACAAGGAGAGAGAGAGAAAAAAAAGGGCAAUAGCUGGCAAUUCGGUGUGGCCUGCAGUCUCUGUCCAGCCUCCGUAGCCAUUGAAUAAAAAAAACUUCAACUGCCGGCCGGCCAUCAGUUUUUUUUUACUUCACGCAAACGGAUCCCUUUU